AUCAACUUUCGAUGGUAGGAUAGAGGCCUACCAUGGUGGUAACGGGUAACGGGGUGUUAGGGCACGACACCGGAGAGGGAGCCUGAGAAACGGCUACCACAUCCAAGGAUGGCAGCAGGCGCGCAAAUUACCCAAUCCCGACACGGGGAGGUAGUGACAAUAAAUAACAAUACGGGGUUCUAUAGGAUUUCGUAAUUGGAAUGAGUACAAUUUAAAUCUCUUAACGAUCAACAAUUGGAGGGCAAGUCUGGUGCCAGCAGCCGCGGUAAUUCCAGCUCCAAUAGCGUAUAUUAAAGUUGUUGCAGUUAAAAAGCUCGUAGUUGAAUUUUAGACCUGGCCGGGCGGUCCGUCUUUGGCGAGUACUGUCUGCUGUCGGGUCUUCCUUCUGGUGAACCAGUAUGUCCUUUAUUGGGUGUGUUGGGGAGCCAGGACCAUUACCUUGAAAAAAUUAGAGUGUUUAAAGCGGGCUAUUGCUUGAAUAGAUUAGCAUGGAAUAAUGAAAUAGGACGUUUGAACCUAUUUUGUUGGUUUCUAGGAUCGACGUAAUGAUUAAUAGGGAUAGUUGGGGGCAUUAGUAUUCAAUUGUCAGAGGUGAAAUUCUUGGAUUUAUUGAAGACUAACUACUGCGAAAGCAUUUGCCAAGGAUGUUUUCAUUAAUCAAGAACGAAAGUUAGGGGAUCGAAGACGAUCAGAUACCGUCGUAGUCUUAACCAUAAACUAUGCCGACUAGGGAUCGGAUGAUGUUAAUUUUUUAAUGACUCAUU
rnacentral:rRNA from 1 species